rnacentral:rRNA from 1 species
CCUACGGGGGGCAGCAGUGGGGAAUAUUGCACAAUGGGGGAAACCCUGAUGCAGCGACGCCGCGUGAGUGAAGAAGUAUUUCGGUAUGUAAAGCUCUAUCAGCAGGGAAGAAAAUGACGGUACCUGACUAAGAAGCCCCGGCUAACUACGUGCCAGCAGCCGCGGUAAUACGUAGGGGGCAAGCGUUAUCCGGAUUUACUGGGUGUAAAGGGAGCGUAGACGGCCAGACAAGUCAGAAGUGAAAGCCUAGGGCUCAACCCUGGGACUGCUUUUGAAACUGCCGGGCUGGAGUGCAGGAGAGGUAAGCGGAAUUCCUAGUGUAGCGGUGAAAUGCAUAGAUAUUAGGAGGAACACCAGUGGCGAAGGCGGCUUACUGGACUGUAACUGACGUUGAGGCUCGAAAGCGUGGGGAGCAAACAGGAUUAGAUACCCGGGUAGUC